rnacentral:rRNA from 1 species
UGGGGAAUAUUGCACAAUGGGGCGAAAGCCUGAUGCAGCGACGCCGCGUGAGUGAAGAAGUAUUUCGGUAUGUAAAGCUCUAUCAGCAGGGAAGAAGACGACGGUACCUGACUAAGAAGUCCCGGCUAACUACGUGCCAGCAGCCGCGGUAAUACGUAGGGGACAAGCGUUAUCCGGAUUUACUGGGUGUAAAGGGAGCGUAGGCGGUCAGACAAGCCAGAAGUGAAAACCCGCGGCUUAACUGCGAGGAUUGCUUUUGGAACUGCCUGACUGGAGUACUGGAGGGGUAAGCGGAAUUCCGUGGUGUAGCGGUGAAAUGCGUAGAUAUCAGGAGGAACACC